UAUGGCCAAAAUCUCAUAUCCCGACAAAGGUAAUUUCAUAUCCUGAUGAUGAUACAAAUCACGAUAUAGCACCUAUUUUUUUUGUUAUAUAGUUUAUAUAAAAUUACCACAUAAAGACCUAUUUCUUAUUACAUUUUGAAUUAAACUCAACAAAUAAAAAGGUACUUUCUCAUUUUAUUUCGAACCUUUGUGCAAAUUUUCAAUUAAGCAUGUAACAAAAUAUAAAAUAUUAAUGUAUAAAAUCUAAAGAGGUAAAUGGAAAACACUUCAACUAUAGUUGCAAACAAAAUAAACAUAGGCCUAAAAUAUAUAUUUAUUUAUUUUUGACGGAUUGCCUGUUUUGCAAGUUAUUUUGGUUUUAAGACGUGUCACAUAUGAAUGUACAUUUGGUACCUUGGGUUGAGUGUUAGGACCAACUCACGAAACCCCCGUUUCUGGACCGUGUAAAUUAGGGCCAUGUCUUUGCAGAUGUAAGUUGUUACGGCAGCUGUUAUCUCCUUCCAUCUUCAUGGUUUUUUGCCAUAUGGUGUGUCGGGGUUUGUUUUGAACACUCGACUACUUUUUUGCGUGUCAUCCGCAGACUCUCUCCGUACUGCUUCACAUGAUUCUUGUGUAUGUGGUAAAAGAGGUCAGUGGUGUUUGAGCCUGUUGUCAGGACCGUGUAGGUGGUAAAAGAGGUUAGUGGUGUUUGAGCCUGUUGUCAGGACCGUGUAGGUGGUAAAAGAGGUUAGUGGUGUUUGAGCCUGUUGUCAGGACCGUGUAGGUGGUAAAAGAGGUUAGUGGUGUUUGAGCCUGUUGUCAGGACCGUGUAGGUGGUAAAAGAGGUUAGUGGUGUUUGAGCCUGUUGUCUGGACCGUGUAGGUGGUAAAAGAGGUUAGUGGUGUUUGAGCCUGUUGUCAGGACCGUGUAGGUGGUAAAAGAGUUUAGUGGUGUUUGAGCCUGUUGUCAGGACCGUGUAGGUGGUAAAAGAGGUUAGUGGUGUUUGAGCCUGUUGUCAGGACCGUGUAGGUGGUAAAAGAGGUUAGUGGUGUUUGAGCCUGUUGUCUGGACCGUGUAGGUGGUAAAAGAGGUUAGUGGUGUUUGAGCCUGUUGUCUGGACCGUGUAGGUGGUAAAAGAGGUUAGUGGUGUUUGAGCCUGUUGUCUGGACUGUGUAGGUGGUAAAAGAGGUUAGUGGUGUUUGAGCCUGUUGUCUGGACUGUGUAGGUGGUAAAAGAGGUUAGUGGUGUUUGAGCCUGUUGUCUGGACCGUGUAGGUGGUAAAAGAGGUUAGUGGUGUUUGAGCCUGUUGUCAGGACCGUGUAGGUGGUAAAAGAGGUUAGUGGUGUUUGAGCCUGUUGUCUGGACCGUGUAGGUGGUAAAAGAGGUUAGUGGUGUUUGAGCCUGUUGUCAGGACCGUGUAGGUGGUAAAAGAGGUUAGUGGUGUUUGAGCCUGUUGUCUGGACCGUGUAGGUGGUAAAAGAGGUUAGUGGUGUUUGAGCCUGUUGUCUGGACCGUGUAGGUGGUAAAAGAGGUUAGUGGUGUUUGAGCCUGUUGUCAGGACCGUGUAGGUGGUAAAAGAGGUUAGUGGUGUUUGAGCCUGUUGUCUGGACCGUGUAGGUGGUAAAAGAGGUUAGUGGUGUUUGAGCCUGUUGUCAGGACCGUGUAGGUGGUAAAAGAGGUUAGUGGUGUUUGAGCCUGUUGUCAGGACCGUGUAGGUGGUAAAAGAGGUUAGUGGUGUUUGAGCCUGUUGUCUGGACCGUGUAGGUGGUAAAAGAGGUUAGUGGUGUUUGAGCCUGUUGUCUGGACUGUGUAGGUGGUAAAAGAGGUUAGUGGUGUUUGAGCCUGUUGUCUGGACCGUGUAGGUGGUAAAAGAGUUUAGUGGUGUUUGAGCCUGUUGUCUGGACCGUGUAGGUGGUAAAAGAGGUUAGUGGUGUUUGAGCCUGUUGUCUGGACCGUGUAGGUGGUAAAAGAGGUUAGUGGUGUUUGAGCCUGUUGUCUGGACCGUGUAGGUGGUAAAAGAGGUUAGUGGUGUUUGAGCCUGUUGUCUGGACCGUGUAGGUGGUAAAAGAGGUUAGUGGUGUUUGAGCCUGUUGUCUGGACUGUGUAGGUGGUAAAAGAGGUUAGUGGUGUUUGAGCCUGUUGUCUGGACUGUGUAGGUGGUAAAAGAGGUUAGUGGUGUUUGAGCCUGUUGUCUGGACCGUGUAGGUGGUAAAAGAGGUUAGUGGUGUUUGAGCCUGUUGUCAGGACCGUGUAGGUGGUAAAAGAGGUUAGUGGUGUUUGAGCCUGUUGUCUGGACCGUGUAGGUGGUAAAAGAGGUUAGUGGUGUUUGAGCCUGUUGUCAGGACCGUGUAGGUGGUAAAAGAGGUUAGUGGUGUUUGAGCCUGUUGUCAGGACCGUGUAGGUGGUAAAAGAGGUUAGUGGUGUUUGAACCUGUUGUCUGGACCGUGUAGGUGGUAAAAGAGGUUAGUGGUGUUUGAGCCUGUUGUCAGGACCGUGUAGGUGGUAAAAGAGGUUAGUGGUGUUUGAGCCUGUUGUCAGGACCUUGUAGGUGGUAAAAGAGGUUAGUGGUGUUUGAGCCUGUUGUCUGGACCGUGUAGGUGGUAAAAGAGGUUAGUGGUGUUUGAGCCUGUUGUCUGGACCGUGUAGGUGGUAAAAGAGGUUAGUGGUGUUUGAGCCUGUUGUCAGGACCGUGUAGGUGGUAAAAGAGGUUAGUGGUGUUUGAGCCUGUUGUCUGGACCGUGUAGGUGGUAAAAGAGGUUAGUGGUGUUUGAGCCUGUUGUCUGGACCGUGUAGGUGGUAAAAGAGGUUAGUGGUGUUUGAGCCUGUUGUCUGGACCGUGUAGGUGGUAAAAGAGUUUAGUGGUGUUUGAGCCUGUUGUCAGGACCGUGUAGGUGGUAAAAGAGGUUAGUGGUGUUUGAGCCUGUUGUCUGGACCGUGUAGGUGGUAAAAGAGGUUAGUGGUGUUUGAGCCUGUUGUCGAGGCCUGCGGCAUAUUUUGCAGUGGACGGUUUUCUGGUCCGUGUCAGACUUUUCAUACCUAAACCACGUCCAUGAGACCGAAGUAGCCCCUCUUUUAGGUACGAGUUCUGUGCUCUGUCACAUUCACUCUCCCUGUUUGUUUGUUUGUUGCAUAUUUCCUUCCACGUGACUCGUGAGGAAGAAUGCAAAGCGUCGUCCAAUUGAUGAAAAUAUUGCCGUAAAGAGUGUGAUUUGCGACACAACGAUAUAAACGAUAGACGUUUUUCUAUCGUCACACGAUAUAUAUGGUCAUAUCGCCCAGCCCCACUGGGUAGUGUUAGUAAACUCAUGCAGAAGAUGCCAGGAUUAUUCUAUGGGUGUUAUACAUCUAACAGCUGGUCGAAGGAGAGUGGAAUUGGUCCGAAUUAGGUUUAGUGAUUUCAAUGAGUUGUUUAAUAGACAGUAAGUGUAGUGGAAGUCUAUGGGUGUUUUCAUGGUCUACUGUGUGCUAAAGCCUCUGGCCUCAUUCCCAAUGCUAAGCAGAACAGAGAGUCGGCAAGUUCAUAGCAGAAUAAUGCAGUGGACUUUAUUCAUUAUAUGGGAUGAAACAUGUUAAUCCUUACUCUGUUUAUAUCUUUAGGAUGAUAUAUAUAUACACACACACACACACACUUCAUAUGAUUGCAGCAUCAAACCUGAUAAAGGCCUAUUGCACAGAGUCAGAUCAAGUGUAGCUCUCCAAAACAUGG